rnacentral:tRNA from 1 species
CGCGCCGGCCGUGCGGGCGCUCCAGCGCCGGCGCCUGCCGCGCUCCCUCGCGGUGCUCGUCGUGGUGCUGCUGGCGUUCGGGGCGCUCGGCGGGC